CCUACGGGAGGCAGCAGUGGGGAAUAUUGGACAAUGGGCGCAAGCCUGAUCCAGCCAUGCCGCGUGUAUGAAGAAGGCCUUCGGGUUGUAAAGCUCUUUCUGUAGGGAAGAUAAUGACGGUACCUACAGAAGAAGCCCCGGCUAACUUCGUGCCAGCAGCCGCGGUAAU
rnacentral:rRNA from 1 species